rnacentral:rRNA from 1 species
UACAGAGGGUGCGAGCGUUGUCCGGAAUCAUUGGGCGUAAAGGGCGCGUAGGCGGUUUCGUAAGUCGAAUGUGAAAGCCCAGGGCUCAACCUUGGAAGUGCAUCCGAAACUGUGAAACUUGAAUCCUGGAGAGGGUGGUGGAAUUCCCAGUGUAGAGGUGAAAUUCGUAGAUAUUGGGAGGAACACCGGUGGCGAAGGCGACCACCUGGACAGAGAUUGACGCUGAGGCGCGAGAGCGUGGGGAGCAAACAGG